AGGAUGCGAGCGUUAUCCGGAUUUAUUGGGUUUAACGGGUGCGUAGGCGGCAUCGCAAGUCAGCGGUAAAAUUACGGGGCUCAACCCCGCCGAGCCGUUGAAACUGCGGAGCUUGAGUGGGCGAGAAGUAUGCGGAAUGCGUGGUGUAGCGGUGAAAUGCAUAGAUAUCACGCAGAACCCCGAUUGCGAAGGCAGCAUACCGGCGCCCGACUGACGCUGAAGCACGAAAGCGUGGGUAUCG
rnacentral:rRNA from 1 species